GACGAACGCUGGCGGCGUGCUUAACACAUGCAAGUCGAACGGAAAGGCCCUGCUUUUGUGGGGUGCUCGAGUGGCGAACGGGUGAGUAACACGUGAGUAACCUGCCCUUGACUUUGGGAUAACUUCAGGAAACUGGGGCUAAUACCGGAUAGGAGCUCCUGCUGCAUGGUGGGGGUUGGAAAGUUUCGGCGGUUGGGAUGGACUUGCGGCUUAUCAGCUUGUUGGUGGGGUAGUGGCUUACCAAGGCUCUGACGGGUAGCCGGCCUGAGAGGGUGACCGGCCACAUUGGGACUGAGAUACGGCCCAGACUCCUACGGGAGGCAGCAGUGGGGAAUAUUGCACAAUGGGCGGAAGCCUGAUGCAGCAACGCCGCGUGCGGGAUGACGGCCUUCGGGUUGUAAACCGCUUUCGCCUGUGACGAAGCGUGAGUGACGGUAAUGGGUAAAGAAGCACCGGCUAACUACGUG
rnacentral:rRNA from 1 species